rnacentral:rRNA from 1 species
UUAGAAUAUAAGUAGUUAUAUUCUUCAUAACUCAAAGAAUUUGGCGGUUAAUUUUAUUUUCAGAGGAAUCUGUAUAUUAAUUGAUAAACCACGAUAUAACCAACUUUUAUUUUAUUUGUAUAUCUCUAUAUUAUAGAAUGUUUUAAAAGAAAAUUUUCUUUUUGAUUUUUCAUAAAUUUUAGGUCAAGGUGCAGUUUUAUAAAUGUUUAUAUGGAUUACUUUAUUUUUAAUUUUAAAUUAAAAAUUUUCUUUUUGAAUAAUUAAAAUGGGAUUUGAUAGUAAAUUAUUUUAAUUAAUUUUUUUGAAUAUU